CAUUUUGAACCGCAUGGUUCGAAAUUGAAAGGCGGCUUCGGCUGUCACUUAUGGAUGGACCCGCGUCGCAUUAGCUAGUUGGUGAGGUAACGGCUCACCAAGGCAACGAUGCGUAGCCGACCUGAGAGGGUGAUCGGCCACACUGGGACUGAGACACGGCCCAGACUCCUACGGGAGGCAGCAGUAGGGAAUCUUCCGCAAUGGACGAAAGUCUGACGGAGCAACGCCGCGUGAGUGAUGAAGGCUUUCGGGUCGUAAAACUCUGUUGUUAGGGAAGAACAAGUGCUAGUUGAAUAAGCUGGCACCUUGACGGUACCUAACCAGAAAGCCACGGCUAACUACGUGCCAGCAGCCGCGGUAAUACGUAGGUGGCAAGCGUUAUCCGGAAUUAUUGGGCGUAAAGCGCGCGCAGGUGGUUUCUUAAGUCUGAUGUGAAAGCCCACGGCUCAACCGUGGAGGGUCAUUGGAAACUGGGAGACUUGAGUGCAGAAGAGGAAAGUGGAAUUCCAUGUGUAGCGGGUGAAAUGCGUAGAGAUAUGGAGGAACACCAGUGGCGAAAGCGACUUUCUGGUCUGUAACUGACACU
rnacentral:rRNA from 1 species